AGUGAACGCUGGCGGCAGGCCUAAUACAUGCAAGUCGAACGGCAGCACAGCAGAGCUUGCUCUGUGGGUGGCGAGUGGCGGACGGGUGAGGAAUACGUGGGAAUCUGCCCAGUCGUGGGGGAUAACGUAGGGAAACUUACGCUAAUACCGCAUGCGCCCUUCGGGGGAAAGCCGGGGACCUUCGGGCCUGGCGCGAUUGGAUGAGCCCACGUCGGAUUAGCUAGUUGGCGGGGUAAAGGCCCACCAAGGCGACGAUCCGUAGCUGGUCUGAGAGGAUGAUCAGCCACACUGGAACUGAGACACGGUCCAGACUCCUACGGGAGGCAGCAGUAGGGAAUAUUGGACAAUGGGCGCAAGCCUGAUCCAGCCAUGCCGCGUGAGUGAAGAAGGCCCUCGGGUUGUAAAGCUCUUUUGUCCGGAAAGAAAGCGCCGGGUUAAUACCCUGGUGUCCUGACGGUACCGGAAGAAUAAGCACCGGCUAACUUCGUGCCAGCAGCCGCGGUAAA
rnacentral:rRNA from 1 species